CAGAGCCUGGGAGCUGCCCUGGAGAAGGCUCUGUCCCCAAAACUGUGGAGGUUAGACUUGUGGAUGGAGAGGAGACCGGCUGAGGGGAUACAGAGGAUAGAGAUUGAUAAAUGAUGUUUAUUUUGUCAGCAAAAAAGUGGAAGAAUGAGUUGCAGAGAUCUGGAGUAGAGGUAGGGAGGGUGUUGGUCCGAGGCUUGAGGAGGUUGUUCACUGCAGAGAAGAGGGUUCUGGGGUUUUGGCAGG